rnacentral:rRNA from 1 species
CCUACGGGAGGCAGCAGUGGGGAAUAUUGGGCAAUGGGCGCAAGCCUGACCCAGCAACGCCGCGUGAAGGAAGAAGGCUUUCGGGUUGUAAACUUCUUUUCUCAGGGACGAAGCAAGUGACGGUACCGGAGGAAUAAGCCACGGCUAAAGACGUGCCAGCAGCCGCGGUAAUACGUAGGGGGCAAGCGUUAUCCGGAUUUACUGGGUGUAAAGGGCGUGUAGGCGGGACGGCAAGUCAGAGGUGAAAACCAUGGGCUCAACCUCUGGCCUGCUUUUGAAACUGUAGUUCUUGAGUACUGGAGAGGCAGUCGGAAUUCCUAGUGUAGCGGUGAAAUGCGUAGAUAUUAGGCGGAACCCCAGUGGCGAAGGCGGUCUGCUGGACCGCAACUGACGCUGAGGCGCGAAAGCGUGGGGAGCAAACAGGAUUAGAUACCCCGGUAGUC